UAAGAACUUGACAAAUGCAAGGACUUUUAGCUUAUAUAUACGGAUAAACUAGACAGGGAUAUCUCCAAACCAAGACGUGGUAUUCUGUCCAACGAAGAAUGCCAUAAAACAUGUGACUGUGAGAGAAUGAACUAUGUACUGAUUCCCAUCCUGAUAUUUGCCGCAAUUUGUCUACUGUUUGUAAAGCCGGGCUGCCUAUUUUAUGCGCAUGCGUGCGCAUAUUCAAACGGUCUCUUCAUUGAUGUGAUCCCAAGUUUAUUUCAGAUCGUUGUGUUUAUGUUUAUUUGGAUAGAGUACAUUUUGAAACCAUUAUUUAAAAAGAAAAGGUUCGUUGUUUCGGGUGUCUAAAUAAACAUUUAGCAUUAUUAUGAUUUAUAAGCUUCGAAGCGUUGUAUAAGUGUCACGGUGUGUGGCAACAUGAUGUCAAAUUACUCAUAAUUACGCAAACUAAGCGUUUAGUUUGGCAAUUAAAAUUCGACUCAGUA